rnacentral:rRNA from 1 species
UACAGAGGGGGCAAGCGUUGUUCGGAAUUACUGGGCGUAAAGGGCGCGUAGGCGGCCCGCUAAGUCGAACGUGAAAUCCCCAGGCUUAACCUGGGAACUGCGUCCGAUACUGGCAGGCUUGAAUCCGGGAGAGGGAUGUGGAAUUCCAGGUGUAGCGGUGAAAUGCGUAGAUAUCUGGAGGAACACCGGUGGCGAAGGCGGCAUCCUGGACCGGCAUUGACGCUGAGGAGCGAAAGCCAGGGGAGCAAACAGG